rnacentral:rRNA from 1 species
GACGAACGCUGGCGGCGUGCUUAACACAUGCAAGUCGAACGGAAAGGCCCUGCUUUUGUGGGGUGCUCGAGUGGCGAACGGGUGAGUAACACGUGAGUAACCUGCCCUUGACUUGGGGAUAACUUCAGGAAACUGGGGCUAAUACCGGAUAGGAGCUCCUGCUGCAUGGUGGGGGUUGGAAAGUUUCGGCGGUUGGGGAUGGACUCGCGGCUUAUCAGCUUGUUGGUUGGGUAGUGGCUUACCAAGGCUUUGACGGGUAGCCGGCCUGAGAGGGUGACCGGCCACAUUGGGACUGAGAUACGGCCCAGACUCCUACGGGAGGCAGCAGUGGGGAAUAUUGCACAAUGGGCGGAAGCCUGAUGCAGCAACGCCGCGUGCGGGAUGACGGCCUUCGGGUUGUAAACCGCUUUCGCCUGUGACGAAGCGUGAGUGACGGUAAUGGGUAAAGAAGCACCGGCUAACUACGUG